rnacentral:lncRNA from 1 species
CUUGCUUUAAGCGCUCUUCAAAACUCUUACCCUUCUUCCUCUGGAUCUUUCCGACCAGAACUUGUUGACUCUGUUAUCAAACCGAUGCUUGACUUCUUACGUGAAACUGGUUCAAGACUUAUGAUCAAUGUCUAUCCUUUCUUUGCUUACGAAGGAAACUCUGACGUCAUUCCUUUAGACUACGCUUUGCUUAGAGAGAAUCCAGGAAUGGUUGAUUCAGGUAAUGGUUUAAGGUACUUUAAUCUCUUUGACGCUCAAAUCGACGCCGUUUUCGCAGCGAUGUCGGCUUUAAAAUACGAUGAUAUCGAAAUCAUUGUGACGGAAACUGGUUGGCCGUCUAAAGGAGAUGAGAAUGAAGUCGGAGCUACUUUAGCUAACGCAGCUUCUUACAACGGAAACUUAAUCCGUCGGAUCUUGACACGUGGAGGUACACCGUUACGUCCUAAAGCAGAUCUGACCGUUUAUCUUUUUGCUCUGUUCAACGAGAACAAGAAGUUAGGUCCAACGUCGGAGAGAAACUAUGGUCUCUUCUUCCCUGAUGAGAAGAAAGUCUACGACAUUCCUUUCACAACAGAAGGGCUUAAACAUUACCGUGACGGUGGUCAUACUCCGGUUACCGGAGGAGAUCAGACCACCACGAAGCCUCCGAUGAGCGGAGGCGUGUCGAAGAGUUUGAAUGGUCAUUCUUGGUGUGUAGCUAAUGGUGAUGCUGGUGAAGAAAAGUUACAAGGUGGUUUAGAUUAUGCUUGUGGUGAAGGUGGUGCUGAUUGCAGUUCGAUUCAACCUGGUGCUAACUGUUACAGUCCUGAUACACUUGAGGCUCACGCUUCGUUUGCUUUCAAUAGUUAUUACCAGAAGAAGGGUCGUGCCGGUGGGAGUUGUUACUUCGGCGGCGCCGCUUACGUUGUUAGCCAACCACCGAGUGAGUAUUUUUAUUUCAUCUUUUUUUUGUGGCGCAUGUUAAGAGUAGGUGUGGGGCUUUCAUGCUAACCUACGCCUAUUAGGGUAGCGUAUUUUUAGGGUAGUGUAGAUGUGGUUAGAUUUGUGGACGACAGACGUCAAAUGUUCCCACGUGAACAUAGAUCACUAGUGUUUAGUGUGACGUGGCUUUACGUCAUCUUGGUGUUAAAAGAGAAUCGGAAUCCUAUGAUUUUUUAUUUCAUGCGUUCUAUGUUUUACAUAAGUUUGUUUUAAGAAAAAUCUAUCUUAAGAAGCUGAUUAGUUUAAUUAAUGUGAAUAUGCAG